UACGUAGGGGGCGAGCGUUGUCCGGAAUUACUGGGCGUAAAGGGUACGCAGGCGGUUUCAUAAGUCAGGUGUAAAAGGCAUUGGCUCAACCAAUGUAAGCAUUUGAAACUGUGAGGCUUGAGUAUAGGAGAGGUAAGUGGAAUUCCUAGUGUAGCGGUGAAAUGCGUAGAUAUUAGGAGGAACACCAGUGGCGAAGGCGACUUACUGGACUAUAACUGACCCCCCGGUACGAAAGCGUGGGGAGC
rnacentral:rRNA from 1 species